rnacentral:tRNA from 1 species
GUUUAUAUAGUUUAAAAAACAUUACAUUUUCAUUGUAAAAUUGAUUCAUUAUCUAUAAAU